rnacentral:rRNA from 1 species
AGCGUAGACGGCACGGCAAGCCAGAUGUGAAAGCCCGGGGCUCAACCCCGGGACUGCAUUUGGAACUGCUGAGCUAGAGUGUCGGAGAGGCAAGUGGAAUUCCUAGUGUAGCGGUGAAAUGCGUAGAUAUUAGGAGGAACACCAGUGGCGAAGGCGGCUUGCUGGACGAUGACUGACGUUGAGGCUGAAAGCGUGGGGAGCAAACA